CCUACGGGUGGCAGCAGUGAGGAAUAUUGGUCAAUGGACGAGAGUCUGAACCAGCCAAGUAGCGUGAAGGAUGACUGCCCUAUGGGUUGUAAACUUCUUUUAUAUGGGAAUAAAAUGUUCCACGUGUGGGAUUUUGUAUGUACCAUAUGAAUAAGGAUCGGCUAACUCCGUGCCAGCAGCCGAGGUAAUACGGAGGAUCCGAGGGUUAUCCGGAUUUAUUGGGUUUAAAGGGAGCGUAGGUGGUGUGUUAAGUCAGUUGUGAAAGUUUGCGGCUCAACCGUAAAAUUGCAGUUGAAACUGGCAGUCUUGAGUACAGUAGAGGUGGGCGGAAUUCGUGGUGUAGCGGUGAAAUGCUUAGAUAUCACGAAGAACUCCGAUUGCGAAGGCAGUUCACUGGACUGCAACUGACACUGAGGCUCGAAAGUGUGGGUAUCAAACAGGAUUAGAUACCCCUGUAGUC
rnacentral:rRNA from 1 species